GACAGAGGUCCCGAGCGUUCGGCGGAAUCACUGGGCUUAAAGCGUGUGUAGGCGGAUUGGUAAGUACCUUGUGAAAUCCCACGGCUUAACCGUGGAACUGCUUGGUAUACUGCUUAUCUUGGGCCACUUAGGGGUUACCGGAACAAACGGUGGAGCGGUGAAAUGCGUAGAUAUCGUUUGGAACGCCAAUGGUGAAAACAGGUAACUGGGAGUGUGCCGACGCUGAGACACGAAAGCCAGGGGAGCGAACGGG
rnacentral:rRNA from 1 species